AGCAUCGGUAGAUGUGGGCUCACAGAUUUCUUGUAUUUGUGCUGUUAUUUACAAAUAAAAGGUUUCCAGGUUUUAUUCUUGGCCCUUGCUG